rnacentral:rRNA from 1 species
UUGGAGGGCAAGUCUGGUGCCAGCAGCCGCGGUAAUUCCAGCUCCAAUAGCGUAUAUUAAAGUUGUUGCAGUUAAAAAGCUCGUAGUUGAAUUUCGGGGUUAGUAGGUUGGUCAUGCCUCUGGUAUGUACUGGUCUCACUGAUUCCUCCUUCCUGAUGAGCCGUAAUGCCAUUAAUUUGGUGUUGCGGGGAAUUUGGACUGUUACUUUGAAGAAAUUAGUGUGUUUAAAGCAAGCUAACGCUUGAAUGCAUUAGCAUGGAAUAAUGAAAUAGGACGUUCGAUCCUAUUUUGUUGGUUUCUAGGAUUGACGUAAUGAUUAAUAGGGAUAGUUGGGGGCAUUAGUAUUCAAUUGUCAGAGGUGAAAUUCUUGGAUUUAUUGAAGACUAACUACUGCGAAAGCAUUUGCCAAGGAUGUUUUCAUUAAUCAAGAACGAAAGUUAGGGGAUCGAAGACGAUCAGAUACCGUCGUAGUCUUAACCAUAAACUAUGCCGACUAGGGAUCGGAUGAUGUUAAUUUUUUAAUGACUCAUUCGGCGCCUUACGGGAAAC